AAUCCUCCUGUUCCCUUUCCCAUCGGAUCUGAACACCGGUCUUGGUGGUCGUAAAAGGAGGAAAAGUAAUAGUGAAGCUGGCCUGAAUGUUGUAAUCUGGUAUAUGGCAUGUGGGCUAGUUUCAGACAGGU
rnacentral:snoRNA from 1 species